rnacentral:lncRNA from 1 species
GGGCAAAUAUCAUUUUCUCUGCCUUCGAGUACCGAGUUUCGGCUUCAUGGAGCACUUUGCUGAUGUAAUAUAUUGGUUGGUGAACUCGAUUCUCGUUCUCUCGGAUGAGCACCGAGCUAACUGCCUCUGGAGAGGUAGCCAAGUAAAGGUACAAUAUUUCCCCAACCUCCGACCUCACAAGCAGGGGCGGAGAAGUCAAAUAUUUCUUCAGUUCC